GCCUAACUUAACAUACAAUGAAUAACCAAUUGUUCGCCAAACAACUACGAGUAAAAACUUAAAACUUAAAAGACUUGACGGUACUUCACACCACCCUAGAGGAGCCUGUCUAAUAACCGAUACUCCACGAUUAACCCAACCCCCCCUAGCCAAACAGUCUAUAUACCGCCAUCGCCAGCCUACCUUGUGAAAGAAACAAAGUAAACGCAACAGCCACCACUAGUACGAUAGGUCGAGGUGUAACUAAUGGGCGGGAAAUAAAGAUGGGCUACAUUUUCUAACUCAGAAAAUACGAAUAGACUAUGAAAAUAGAAACCGAAGGCGGAUUUAGCAGUAGGAUAAGGACAAAAUGCUUAACCGAAAUAAACGCAAUGAAGUGCGUACACACCGCCCGUCAUCCCUGUCAAAAACAAUAAAACUUCAUAAACACAUAUAAACUAAUAAACAGGGCAAGUCGUAACAUGGUAAGCGUACUGGAAAGUGCGCUUAGAAA
rnacentral:rRNA from 1 species